rnacentral:rRNA from 1 species
GAGUUUGAUCCUGGCUCAGGAUGAACGCUGGCGGCGUGCCUAAUACAUGCAAGUCGAACGAACAGAUAAGGAGCUUGCUCCUUUGACGUUAGCGGCGGACGGGUGAGUAACACGUGGGUAACCUACCUAUAAGACUGGGAAUAACUCCGGGAAACCGGGGCUAAUGCCGGAUAACAUGUUGAACCGCAUGGUUCUACAGUGAAAGACGGUCUUGCUGUCACUUAUAGAUGGACCCGCGCCGUAUUAGCUAGUUGGUGGGUAACGGCCUACCAAGGCGACGAUACGUAGCCGACCUGAGAGGGUGAUCGGCCACACUGGAACUGAGACACGGUCCAGACUCCUACGGGAGGCAGCAGUAGGGAAUC